ACGGGGUGCAACACGCGCUAAAACUUUGCAUUGUGCCAAAGCACGACAAGGUUAAUCCGAGUGUUUUCUGCUAAACAAAUCUUUUGUUAGUUCUAAAACCACUAUCGAAUAAGGGGUGGGCAAGUUCUGGUGUCAGCCGCCGCGGGAAAACCAGCACCUCAAGUGGUCAGGAUGAUUAUUGGGCCUAAAGCAUCCGUAGCGGCUAUGUUAGUUUUCGGUUAAAUCCAUGUGCUCAACGCAUGGGCUGUCGAGAAUACUGCAUAGCUAGGGAGUGGGAGAGGUAAACGGUACUCUGCAGGAAGGGGUAAAAUCCUUUGAUCUAUCCAUGACCACCAGUGGCGAACGCGGUCUACCAAAACACGUCCGACGGUGAGGGAUGAAAGCUGGGGGAGCAAACCGGAUUAGAUACCCGGGUAGUCCCAGCUGUAAACUAUGCAAACUCUGUGAUGCAUUGGCUUGUGGCCAGUGCAGUGCCGCAGAGAAGUCGUUAAGUUUGCCGCCUGGAAAGUACGUACGCAAGUAUGAAACUUAAAGGAAUUGGCGGGGGAGCACCACAAGGGGUGAAGCCUGCGGUUCAAUUGGAGUCAACGCCGGA
rnacentral:rRNA from 1 species